CAGCCAGGUGAACCUGAGUGUUCACAACCGCCUGGAGCUGCGGAACUCCUCCAAUGUCCUGGGGAUCAUCCGCGGGGCUGUGGAGCCUGACCGCUAUGUGCUCUAUGGAAACCACCGGGACAGCUGGGUGCACGGGGCCGUGGACCCCAGCAGUGGCACUGCUGUCCUGCUGGAGCUCUCCCGUGUCCUGGGGACCCUGCUAAAGAAGGGCACCUGGCGCCCCCGCAGAUCGAUC